AGCAGUAGCCACGGGAAUACGAAGGGUGCAAGCGUUACUCGGAAUUACUGGGCGUAAAGCGUGCGUAGGUGGUGGUUUAAGUCCGUUGUGAAAGCCCUGGGCUCAACCUGGGAAUUGCAGUGGAUACUGGGUCACUAGAGUGUGGUAGAGGAUAGUGGAAUUUCCGGUGUAGCAGUGAAAUGCGUAGAGAUCGGAAGGAACAUCUGUGGCGAAGGCGACUAUCUGGGCCAACACUGACACUGAGGCACGAAAGCGUGGGGAGCAAACAGGAUUAGAGACCCGAGUAGUCCCUGUCUCUUAUAA
rnacentral:rRNA from 1 species